rnacentral:rRNA from 1 species
AAAGAAAAUAACAAUGAUUCCCUCAGUAACGGCGAGCGAAGAGGGAUAAGCUCAAAUUUUAAAUCUGUUGGGUUCCACUUAACAGAGUUGUAUUUUGAAGAAACGUUUUCUGUGUCCAGGAUCAGCCUAAAUCCUUUGGGAUAAGGUAUCAUGGAGGGUGAGAAUCCCGUUCAUGGUUAAUCUUAAGGAAGCUCUACGAUACGUUUUCCAAGAGUCGAGUUGUUUGGGAUUGCAGCUCAAAAUGGGAGGUAAAUUUCUCCUAAGGCUAAAUAUUGGCGAGAGACCGAUAGCGAACAAGUACCGUGAGGGAAAGAUGAAAAGAACUUUGAAAAGAGAGUUAAACAGUACGUGAAAUUGUUGAAAGGGAAACGAUUGAAG